rnacentral:rRNA from 1 species
AUUGAACGCUGGCGGCAGGCCUAACACAUGCAAGUCGAACGGUAGCACAGAGGAGCUUGCUCCUCGGGUGACGAGUGGCGGACGGGUGAGUAAUGUCUGGGGAUCUGCCCGAUAGAGGGGGAUAACCACUGGAAACGGUGGCUAAUACCGCAUAACGUCGCAGGACCAAAGAGGGGGACCUUCGGGCCUCCCACUAUCGGAUGAACCCAGAUGGGAUUAGCUAGUAGGCGGGGUAACGGCCCACCUAGGCGACGAUCCCUAGCUGGUCUGAGAGGAUGACCAGCCACACUGGAACGGAGACACGGUCCAGACUCCUACGGGAGGCAGCAGUGGGGAAUAUUGCACAAUGGGCGCAAGCCUGAUGCAGCCAUGCCGCGUGUAUGAAGAAGGCCUUCGGGUUGUAAAGUACUUUCGGCGGGGAGGAAGGCGAUGUGGUUAAUAACCGCAUUGAUUGACGUUACCCGCAGAAGAAGCACCGGCUAACUCCGUGCCAGCCGCCGCUGUAA